GAUGAACGCUGGCGGCGUGCCUAAUACAUGCAAGUCGAGCGAACGGACGAGAAGCUUGCUUCUCUGAUGUUAGCGGCGGACGGGUGAGUAACACGUGGAUAACCUACCUAUAAGACUGGGAUAACUUCGGGAAACCGGAGCUAAUACCGGAUAAUAUUUUGCACCGCAUGGUUCAAAAGUGAAAGACGGUCUUGCUGUCACUUAUAGAUGGAUCCGCGCUGCAUUAGCUAGUUGGUAAGGUAACGGCUUACCAAGGCAACGAUGCAUAGCCGACCUGAGAGGGUGAUCGGCCACACUGGAACUGAGACACGGUCCAGACGGCUACGGGAAGCAGCAGUAGGGAAUCGUGCGCAAUGGGCGAAAGACUGACGGAGCAACGCCGCGUGAGUGAUGAAGGUCGUCGGAUCGUAAAACUCUGUUAUUAGGGAAGAACAUAUGUGUAAGUAACUGGGCGCAUCUUGACGGUACAUAAUCAGAAAGCCACGGCUAACUAAGUG
rnacentral:rRNA from 1 species